rnacentral:lncRNA from 1 species
CCCUCUAUCAAAAUACCUAAGUAUUUUCAGUAAGAUCGGAGAUUGAACUGGAUCUAUAAGAUCAAGGAGGGACUACAUGUACUGGCUUAACAUGAAUAGGUUCUAUAGGUUCUAUGACUCGUUGCUCUUAAGAAACUUUCUUUUUGAGCUCAGUUUUUCUCCCACUAUCCCAUCUUGGAUAAACUAUUUCUCUAGAACAUAGCAUGUCGGGUCACAAUCAUAUUGUGGUCCUUUAGAAGAAAAAUAGUAUUCCUAAAAUUCUUUAAGCUACCUCAAAAUGAGUCUGAUAGACCUAACCUCUAACAUGUCC